AGCAGUGAAGAAGAUGUUUGGCAAGGUUUUUACAGAGUGGAAAUGUUGCCUUACAGAGUUUUGGGUCCGUUUUCAAUUUUUCCUGAUGAUUUGUAUGAAAAUUGUCAGUGACAGUGGUGUAAUUAUGGGAUAAAUGCUGUUCCACAGCCAGCUCGUAAACAGAAAAAUCAGCGAGACGAUUUUUCAAAGGGAUGUUGCUCAGCUGAUGGGGCUGCUGACAGCAUGAGUCUGACCCUGCCGAGAUUGGAUGUAUGUGUGUGUGUGUGUGAGAGAGAGGCGAUGGUUGUUUUUGGCAGCUUCCUGUUACUAUCUUCACUGAUGAACUCACAGUGUCUUGAUUCUGUCUCAGUUCAUCUCUAUCAGGGACGCAGAGUGUGUAUAAAUAACUUUUACUAUACAAAAAGUGAACAGGAAAUUGAAAAAAGAGAGAAAAAAAAACUGUAUUACUCUAUUUCCGAAGGAGGAAAGAGGACGGGUGAGCGCAGAAGCGAACAAGUGACAGAUCCUAGGACAGACAGACUCAGUCCCGGAGUGGAAGAAGAGAUCUGACAAUGAUAAUCAGGACACACACUGGAGCACUUUUGCAUCGCAAGUGCAGUGCUGUACCAGCAGUUCGAUACUUCAAACUCCCAGCUUUAACUGAACCAUGUAUCCCGGAUCUCAUCUCCACACCCUCAUGUUGAACAAUGAUCAAUAGCGUCUCCUGCCGUAUCGGACCAGGCUUUUCAUUCCCACCAUUAAGAUCUGCUGAUCUGAAACACUUAUCCGGAGUAAUCUACAGCAUUUGGAUCAAUCGGCCUCCCUCGGCUCUCACUCCCGGGGAAGGCGGGUUAAACCAUGUGCCCAUCGUGAAGGAGGUCACCUCCAGCCACCGGAUUGACAUGA